rnacentral:rRNA from 1 species
AACGCUAGCUACAGGCUUAACACAUGCAAGUCGAGGGGCAGCAUUUUAGUUUGCUUGCAAACUGAAGAUGGCGACCGGCGCACGGGUGAGUAACACGUAUCCAACCUGCCGAUAACUCCGGAAUAGCCUUUCGAAAGAAAGAUUAAUACCGGAUAGCAUACGAAUAUCGCAUGAUAUUUUUAUUAAAGAAUUUCGGUUAUCGAUGGGGAUGCGUUCCAUUAGUUUGUUGGCGGGGUAACGGCCCACCAAGACAACGAUGGAUAGGGGUUCUGAGAGGAAGGUCCCCCACAUUGGAACUGAGACACGGUCCAAACUCCUACGGGAGGCAGCAGUGAGGAAUAUUGGUCAAUGGGCGAGAGCCUGAACCAGCCAAGUAGCGUGAAGGAUGAAGGCUCUAUGGGUCGUAAACUUCUUUUAUAUGGGAAUAAAGUUUUCCACGUGUGGAAUUUUGUAUGUACCAUAUGAAUAAGGAUCGGCUAACUCCGUGCCAGCAGCCGCGGUAAUACGGAGGAUCCGAGCGUUAUCCGGAUUUAUUGGGUUUAAAGGGAGCGUAGGUGGAUUGUUAAGUCAGUUGUGAAAGUUUGCGGCUCAACCGUAAAAUUGCAGUUGAAACUGGCAGUCUUGAGUACAGUAGAGGUGGGCGGAAUUCGUGGUGUAGCGGUGAAAUGCUUAGAUAUCACGAAGAACUCCGAUUGCGAAGGCAGCUCACUAGACUGUCACUGACACUGAUGCUCGAAAGUGUGGGUAUCAAACAGGAUUAGAUACCCUGGUAGUCCACACAGUAAACGAUGAAUACUCGCUGUUUGCGAUAUACAGUAAGCGGCCAAGCGAAAGCAUUAAGUAUUCCACCUGGGGAGUACGCCGGCAACGGUGAAACUCAAAGGAAUUGACGGGGGCCCGCACAAGCGGAGGAACAUGUGGUUUAAUUCGAUGAUACGCGAGGAACCUUACCCGGGCUUAAAUUGCAACAGAAUAUAUUGGAAACAGUAUAGCCGUAAGGCUGUUGUGAAGGUGCUGCAUGGUUGUCGUCAGCUCGUGCCGUGAGGUGUCGGCUUAAGUGCCAUAACGAGCGCAACCCUUAUCUUUAGUUACUAACAGGUGAUGCUGAGGACUCUAAAGAGACUGCCGUCGUAAGAUGUGAGGAAGGUGGGGAUGACGUCAAAUCAGCACGGCCCUUACGUCCGGGGCUACACACGUGUUACAAUGGGGGGUACAGAAGGCGGCUACCUGGUGACAGGAUGCUAAUCCCAAAAACCUCUCUCAGUUCGGAUCGAAGUCUGCAACCCGACUUCGUGAAGCUGGAUUCGCUAGUAAUCGCGCAUCAGCCAUGGCGCGGUGAAUACGUUCCCGGGCCUUGUACACACCGCCCGUCAAGCCAUGAAAGCCGGGGGUACCUGAAGUACGUAACCGCAAGGAGCGUCCUAGGGUAAAACUGGUAAUUGGGGCUAA